rnacentral:rRNA from 1 species
GGCCCGCACAAGCGGUGGAGCAUGUGGUUUAAUUCGAUGCAACGCGAAGAACCUUACCUACUCUUGACAUCCAGAGAACUUAGCAGAGAUGCUUUGGUGCCUUCGGGAACUCUGAGACAGGUGCUGCAUGGCUGUCGUCAGCUCGUGUUGUGAAAUGUUGGGUUAAGUCCCGCAACGAGCGCAACCCUUAUCCUUUGUUGCCAGCGAUUCGGUCGGGAACUCAAAGGAGACUGCCGGUGAUAAACCGGAGGAAGGUGGGGAUGACGUCAAGUCAUCAUGGCCCUUACGAGUAGGGCUACACACGUGCUACAAUGGCGUAUACAAAGAGAAGCGACCUCGCGAGAGCAAGCGGAACUCAUAAAGUACGUCGUAGUCCGGAUUGGAGUCUGCAACUCGACUCCAUGAAGUCGGAAUCGCUAGUAAUCGUAGAUCAGAAUGCUACGGUGAAUACGUUCCCGGGCCUUGUACACACCGCCCGUCACACCAUGGGAGUGGGUUGCAAAAGAAGUAGGUAGCUUAACCUUCGGGAGGGCGCUUACCACUUUGUGAUUCAUGA